CAGAAGGUGUAUCAAAUAAUAAUAAUAGAUAAGAUAUUUAUAAAAUAUUGAUCUGAUAUCACACCUGCUGACCACAUUUUCACCGAAGACCUACUGCUGAAUUGCCCCAUGAUCAUCUCCAAAUAGUAGAAUGGUUUCCCAACGAGGAACAAGACGAUGAUGUAAGGUAUUAGAAAUACCCCACCGCCAUUCUCGUAAGCUGUGAAUGGAAAUCGCCAAACGUUGCCCAGACCUAUGGACAUGGCGAUGCAGGACAUUAGAAAUUCUAAUCCAUUGCCCCAGGAUCAACGAAACCGAUCAAUGUUUGAUUUGCAAUGAUUUGGAGUUGGAAAUUGGGGAACAUUUUCUGCUCAGUUGUAUUCAGCACCAAGCUUACAAACACC
rnacentral:misc_RNA from 1 species